rnacentral:rRNA from 1 species
GUAACGCUGGCGGCGUGCCUAGUACAUGCAAGUCGAGCGAACGGACGAGAAGCUUGCUUCUCUGAUGUUAGCGGCGGACGGGUGAGUAACACGUGGAUAACCUACCUAUAAGACUGGGAUAACUUCGGGAAACCGGAGCUAAUACCGGAUAAUAUUUUGAACCGCAUGGUUCAAAAGUGAAAGACGGUCUUGCUGUCACUUAUAGAUGGAUCCGCGCUGCAUUAGCUAGUUGGUAAGGUAACGGCUUACCAAGGCAACGAUGCAUAGCCGACCUGAGAGGGUGAUCGGCCACACUGGAACUGAGACACGGUCCAGACUCCUACGGGAGGCAGCAGUAGGGAAUCUUCCGCAAUGGGCGAAAGCCUGACGGAGCAACGCCGCGUGAGUGAUGAAGGUCUUCGGAUCGUAAAACUCUGUUAUUAGGGAAGAACAUAUGUGUAAGUAACUGUGCACAUCUUGACGGUACCUAAUCAGAAAGCCACGGCUAACUACGUGCAAGCCCGCCGCGGUA